AGCUGACUCAGAUGAGUGGAAGGCACUUUAUUUGAAGAAUGCAACUUGACUGUUGGAAUCCAAUCACCACAGCCAAACUUUUGCACCAGGGAACUUUGCUAAGUUCAUAAUGCUGAACUUAAAGGAUUUUAAAACCACUUCUCUGAAAAGGAGUCAAGUAAAGAUCAGGACAGUCAUUAGAAU